rnacentral:rRNA from 1 species
CACGUAGGGUGCGAGCGUUGUCCGGAAUUAUUGGGCGUAAAGAGCUCGUAGGCGGUGUGUCGCGUCGGCCGUGAAAACCUGCAGCUUAACUGUGGGCUUGCGGUCGAUACGGGCAUCACUGGAGUUCGGCAGGGGAGACUGGAAUUCCUGGUGUAGCGGUGAAAUGCGCAGAUAUCAGGAGGAACACCGGUGGCGAAGGCGGGUCUCUGGGCCGAUACUGACGCUGAGGAGCGAAAGCAUGGGUAGCGAACAGG